AGGACCUUUCUGGAACUCGAAAAACUAAUGGUCCACCGGGUCUCGUCACGAAGCGUCAAAUUUCCGCCGACCACUGGCAACCCUUUUUCUUUUUCAGCAGGGAGCUCCACUCCAACUCUCCCACACUCCCCCCUCCCCCAUUCUGCUCUGCGCUCGCUCGCUCGCUCGCUCCGAGAAACUCCGAAAGAGGCCAAAAGAGAGAAGAAGAGAACUCGAAGGAAAUGGGAUUCGAUUCCCAAUGCCGGUGGUACCGCCUUGCCUUUCUUCUUCUCUCAGGUGUCUUUUUUUCGGCGACUGCGUCGCCGCCGGCGGUGGGCAUCAACUACGGGCAGCUGGGAAACAAUCUUCCUUCGCCGGACAGAGUGGUCGGGUUGCUCCAAUCUAUCAAUGUUAGCAAGGUCAAGCUUUAUGACUCCGAUCCGCAGGUCCUCCAUGCGUUUCGCAAUACCAGCAUCGAGUUCGUUAUCGGAAUCCCGAACGAUGACGUCGGCAAGAUGACCGAUCCGGCGAAGGCUUAUGCCUGGGUCAAGGCCAACGUUCUAGCUUACUUGCCUCAGACCAGGGUCAGCUGCAUCACUGUCGGCAACGAGGUGCUCACCGGAAACGACUCGUCGUUGAUCCAGAACCUCGUCCCGGCGAUGCAGAACGUUUACAAUGCGCUGCGGACUCUGCGGCUGGCGAACAAGGUACAGGUGACCACGGCUCACUCGCUUGCGGUUCUGCAGUCGUCGUACCCGCCAUCGACCAGCAGUUUCCGGCAAGAUCUCGUGAAACCCCUCCGCCCGCUAUUGGAUUUCCACGCGCGGACUGGAUCGCCCUUCCUGAUUAACGCCUACCCGUUCUUCGCAUACAUGGGGGAUCCGAAGAACGUCCCUCUCGAUUACGUCCUAUUCCAGCCAAACGCCGGAAACACGGACCCUAACACGGGUCUCCACUACGAUAACAUGCUGUUCGCGCAGAUCGACGCUGUGCACUCUGCGCUUGAGGCGGAGGGCCAUCAUAAUCUGACGGUCAAGGUCUCGGAGACGGGGUGGCCGUCAAAGGGAGACGCGCAGGAGGUCGGCGCGACGCCGGGGAACGCCCGGGCGUACAACGGGAACCUAAUGAAGAUCGCGGCCCAGCGGAAGGGGACGCCGAAGCGGCCCAACUCUCCCUUGGAGGUAUACGUAUUCGCGCUCUUCAACGAGAAUAUGAAGCCCGGACCGACUUCGGAGAGGAACUACGGGCUCUUCAAGCCUGAUGGAACUCCUUCAUACGCCGUCGGCCUUGACUCCGCUCGGCUCGGCUCGGCAUCUCCUCCGGCCGAUCAGUCCCCCACCCCAUUCAAUACUUCGGUCGUCUUGCCUCCGACUCAGCCUGCGACUGGUGCCAAAUCGGCGAACUCAUCUUCGGCGCCAUCCGUCACUUCGGUCUCCUCCGCCGUGGUACGAUUUCCGCACUCCUCCUCCUCCUCCUGCCUGCUCCGCUCAAAAGUGUAAAAAAUCAGCUGUUCAAAGACUCGUCGGCAGCCGGUUCUUCGGUGGGGUUCGAUGAGGCUUCUCGGGCAAGGAUUGGUUGGCUUGGUACUGGCGUGCAUGUGUUUCUUCCCCUGAAUGAAAAGCUAGACACGAUGUGUGGAUGAUAGUCGCAGCGUUGGUGGAACUGGAAGGUGUUGUUUGAUGGGUGGAUCUGAUUAUAUUUUUUCAGCCGGGAGGUCGACUGUUUUCUUCUUUUUGUGCUUCUCAAAAUAUCUCAUUGUGUAGGGGCUGUUGUAGCAUUGCCGAUUAUAUUGAUUAAAGUAGUGAAAAUUAACAUGGA